ACAAAAUCAUCAAUGAUACCUCAUAUAACAACAAGGAUAUGGCUUGUAAGUCUCUACCAAGACACCGUAAAUGUCUUGACUAUGAUCGGUAUACUUUUGACU
rnacentral:ncRNA from 2 species